UGGCGGCCUAAGCCCGGG
rnacentral:snRNA from 1 species